rnacentral:rRNA from 1 species
ACUGAUCGGCCACAUUGGGACUGAGACACGGCCCAAACUCCUACGGGAGGCUGCAGUAGGGAAUCUUCCACAAUGGGCGAAAGCCUGAUGGAGCAACGCCGCGUGUGUGAUGAAGGCUUUCGGGUCGUAAAGCACUGUUGUAUGGGAAGAAAAGUUAAGGUAGGGAAUGACCUUAGCCUGACGGUACCAUACCAGAAAGGGACGGCUAAAUACGUGCCAGCAGCCGCGGUAAUACGUAUGUCCCGAGCGUUAUCCGGAUUUAUUGGGCGUAAAGCGAGCGCAGACGGUUGGUUAAGUCUGAUGUGAAAGCCCGGAGCUCAACUCCGGAAAGGCAUUGGAAACUGGUUAACUUGAGUGCAGUAGAGGUAAGUGGAACUCCAUGUGUAGCGGUGGAAUGCGUAGAUAUAUGGAAGAACACCAGCGGCGAAGGCGGCUUACUGGACUGUAACUGACGUUGAGGCUCGAAAGUGUGGGUAGCAAACAGGAUUAGAUACCCUGGUAGUCCACACCGUAAACGAUGAACACUAGGUGUUAGGAGGUUUCCGCCUCUUAGUGCCGAAGCUAACGCAUUAAGUGUUCCGCCUGGGGAGUACGACCGCAAGGUUGAAACUCAAAGGAAUUGACGGGGACCCGCACAAGCGGUGGAGCAUGUGGUUUAAUUCGAAGCAACGCGAAGAACCUUACCAGGUCUUGACAUCCUUUGAAGCUUUUAGAAAUAGAAGUGUUCUCUUCGGAGACAAAGUGACAGGUGGUGCAUGGUCGUCGUCAGCUCGUGUCGUGAGAUGUUGGGUUAAGUCCCGCAACGAGCGCAACCCUUAUUGUUAGUUGCCAGCAUUCAGAUGGGCACUCUAGCGAGACUGCCGGUGACAAACCGGAGGAAGGCGGGGACGACGUCAGAUCAUCAUGCCCCUUAUGACCUGGGCUACACACGUGCUACAAUGGCGUAUACAACGAGUUGCCAACCUGCGAAGGUGAGCUAAUCUCUUAAAGUACGUCUCAGUUCGGACUGCAGUCUGCAACUCGACUGCACGAAGUCGGAAUCGCUAGUAAUCGCGGAUCAGCACGCCGCGGUGAAUACGUUCCCGGGUCUUGUACACACCGCCCGUCACACCAUGGAAGUUUGUAAUGCCCAAAGCCGGUGGCCUAACCGUAAGGAGGGAACCGUCUAAGGC